rnacentral:rRNA from 1 species
AAACGGAGAGUUUGAUCCUGGCUCAGGACGAACGCUGGCGGCGUGCUUAACACAUGCAAGUCGAACGGGGAUAUUUAGAAGAAGCUACUUGUAGUGGACUUUAAAUAUUCUAGUGGCGAACGGGUGAGUAAC